AUAGUCGGAUUCGCAUUAAUCUAUAUGUGUUGGGUGGGUUGGAGUGAAACUUAACUAAAUUCCACCCCAAUCCACUCCAACACAUGUGGAUUAAAGUGAAUCCGACA
rfam:Sorghum bicolor cultivar BTx623 chromosome 8, whole genome shotgun sequence.